rnacentral:rRNA from 1 species
UACGGAGGAUGCGAGCGUUAUCCGGAUUUAUUAGGUUUAAAGGGUGCGUAGGCGGACUUGUAAGUCAGCGGUGAAAUACUACAGCUUAACUGUAGAACUGCCGUUGAUACUGUGAGUCUUGAGUAUAGUUGAGGUAGGCGGAAUGUGUAGUGUAGCGGUGAAAUGCUUAGAUAUUACACAGAACACCGAUUGCGAAGGCAGCUUACUAAGCUAUAACUGACGCUGAGGCACGAAAGCAUGGGGAGCAAACAGGAUUA